rnacentral:rRNA from 1 species
GAUGAACGCUGGCGGCGUGCCUAAUACAUGCAAGUCGAACGCUUUGUGGUUCAACUGAUAUGAAGAGCUUGCUCGGAUUUGACGAUGGACAUUGCAAAGAGUGGCGAACGGGUGAGUAACACGUGGGAAACCUACCUCUUAGCAGGGGAUAACAUUUGGAAACAAAUGCUAAUACCGUAUAACAAUGACAACCGCAUGGUUGUUAUUUGAAAGAUGGUUCUGCUAUCACUAAGAGAUGGUCCCGCGGUGCAUUAGUUAGUUGGUGAGGUAAUGGCUCACCAAGACGAUGAUGCAUAGCCGAGUUGAGAGACUGAUCGGCCACAAUGGGACUGAGACACGGCCCAUACUCCUACGGGAGGCAGCAGUAGGGAAUCUUCCACAAUGGGCGAAAGCCUGAUGGAGCAACGCCGCGUGUGUGAUGAAGGGUUUCGGCUCGUAAAACACUGUUGUAAGAGAAGAAUGACAUUGAGAGUAACUGUUCAAUGUGUGACGGUAUCUUACCAGAAAGGAACGGCUAAAUACGUGCCAGCAGCCGCGGUAAUACGUAUGUUCCAAGCGUUAUCCGGAUUUAUUGGGCGUAAAGCGAGCGCAGACGGUUAUUUAAGUCUGAAGUGAAAGCCCUCAGCUCAACUGAGGAAUUGCUUUGGAAACUGGAUGACUUGAGUGCAGUAGAGGAAAGUGGAACUCCAUGUGUAGCGGUGAAAUGCGUAGAUAUAUGGAAGAACACCAGUGGCGAAGGCGGCUUUCUGGACUGUAACUGACGUUGAGGCUCGAAAGUGUGGGUAGCAAACAGGAUUAGAUACCCCUGGUAGUCCACACCGUAAACGAUGAGUGCUAGGUGUUUGGGGGUUUCCGCCCAUAAGUGCCGGAGCUAACGCAUUAAGCACUCCGCCUGGGGAGUACGACCGCAAGGUUGAAACUCAAAGGAAUUGACGGGGACCCGCACAAGCGGUGGAGCAUGUGGUUUAAUUCGAAGCAACGCGAAGAACCUUACCAGGUCUUGACAUCCCUUGACAACUCCAGAGAUGGAGCGUUCCCUUCGGGGACAAGGUGACAGGUGGUGCAUGGUUGUCGUCAGCUCGUGUCGUGAGAUGUUGGGUUAAGUCCCGCAACGAGCGCAACCCUUAUUACUAGUUGCCAGCAUUCAGUUGGGCACUCUAGUGAGACUGCCGGUGACAAACCGGAGGAAGGUGGGGAUGACGUCAAAUCAUCAUGCCCCUUAUGACCUGGGCUACACACGUGCUACAAUGGCGUAUACAACGAGUUGCCAACCCGCGAGGGUGAGCUAAUCUCUUAAAGUACGUCUCAGUUCGGAUUGUAGGCUGCAACUCGCCUACAUGAAGUCGGAAUCGCUAGUAAUCGCGGAUCAGCACGCCGCGGUGAAUACGUUCCCGGGUCUUGUACACACCGCC